GAUGAACGCUGGCGGCGUGCUUAACACAUGCAAGUCGAACGGAAAGGCCCAAGCUUGCUUGAGUACUCGAGUGGCGAACGGGUGAGUAACACGUGGGUGAUCUGCCCUGCACUUCGGGAUAAGCCUGGGAAACUGGGUCUAAUACCGGAUAGGACCACAUUUUGGAUGGUGUGGUGGAAAGUUUUUCGGUGUGGGAUGAGCUCGCGGCCUAUCAGCUUGUUGGUGGGGUAAUGGCCUACCAAGGCGUCGACGGGUAGCCGGCCUGAGAGGGUGUACGGCCACAUUGGGACUGAGAUACGGCCCAGACUCCUACGGGAGGCAGCAGUGGGGAAUAUUGCACAAUGGGCGCAAGCCUGAUGCAGCGACGCCGCGUGGGGGAUGACGGCCUUCGGGUUGUAAACUCCUUUCGCUAGGGACGAAGCGUUUUUGUGACGGUACCUGGAGAAGAAGCACCGGCUAACUACGUG
rnacentral:rRNA from 1 species